AUAAAAAAGAAGCUGCUGUGUCCAAAGAACUCAAAAAGCCAGCAAAAGCUCCUGCAGCCAAUCCAGCUAUCAAAAAAGCAGCAGCACCAGAACCACACAAGAAAGAAAAAGCGAUGGAGUCUGCCAAAACAGCAAAGAGAGAAGUAAAAGUACAUGGAUCUGAGCAAAAUCCGAAGUUAAAAGAUAAACCAAAGACGAAACAUGGAAAUCCUGAAAAAGAGAAGGAAUUGAAAUCUCCAGCAGCUACAAAAGAUAAAGCACAUGCUAAAGAAAAGGAAGAAAAGAAUCCUACAUUUUUAAAAGAAAAAGAUUCUCUGAAAGGAAAAAAUCCCAAGAAUCCAGAGAGUUCAAGGGAAAAAGAGACCAGUAAAAGAAAAGAGGUGAAGCCUCCAGCAGCCUUAAAAGAAAAGGACUCUUCAAAAGGAAAAGAUAUUAAGGCUUCAAGUAAUACUAAGGAAAAAGUUGCAGUGAAAAAGGAGGGGGAGAAGAAAGCUACCUCAGAGAAACCUCAUGAACACAAGCAUGAACAUGUUAAACAUGAAAAAGCUAUCUCUCAGAGUAAGCCAGAGGAGAAAAUGAAACAACAAAAGACAACUCCCACUGUGAAAUCAGAGCAUGAAGCAGUCAGACAUCAAAAAGAUGGUCCACGAACAAAACCAGGUAAGGACUCCUGCAUUUUAUGUAUUCAUUACUUUUGAAAAUGUUAUUUAAAGAAAUAGCGAAAUAAAAUUGUAUAUGACAAAUGUCA
rnacentral:lncRNA from 1 species